rnacentral:rRNA from 1 species
CUCUAUUAGAAAUUACUAAUAGUAAAAUCUGCUCAAUGAAAUUUAAAUAGCCGCAAUAUGUGCUAAGGUAGCAUAAUAAUUUGUCUUUUAAUUAAAGACUAGAACAAAAGAUUUAUCAUUUUGAAUUAUAUUUUACACAUAAAUAUUUAAAUUAUUUUAAAUAUAAAAAAAUUUUUAUAAAAUAAAAAGACGACAAGACCCUAUUGAAUUUCACUUAAGUUUAACUGGGGUAGUUAAUUAAUUAUUAUUUUAAUAAAAAUUAAAUUAAAUUAAUCUAUUAUAACUAAUUUAUAACAAAUUACCGUAGGGAUAACAGCGCAAUAAUAUUUUCAAGCCCUUAUUAAAAAUAAUGAUUACGACCUCGAUGUUGAUUUAACUAUCUAAUUAAUGCAUCCGUUAAUUAAGUAAGUCUGUUCGACUUGUAAAAAUU